UGCCCAACUCGGCCUCCCAAAGUGUUGGGAUUACAGGUGUGAGCCACCUCACCCAGCUUCGUUCCAUCUCUUAUACUUAAACAGUUGCCUCUUAUUUCCUGCCUCAGCCCUUUUGGGGUUUCUACAGCUGAUUCUACUAAUGGCUUCCAUCGACCAGUGCAGGCUUUUCUCAUUUCUUCACUCAUAUCUUGUAGAAUUUCCUUUCUGGGGUCUGUGGUCUUGUCAUUAUCAUAUUCUCAGAUACUGGAUUCUUAUGUUGGGUUCUUGUGUUUCUUUUAUGUACUUAUUUAUAUAUGCUUUCCUUGGUGGGCUCUGGUGCCUUUUAGGCUAACUAACUGAAAAACAAUGUAUCCACAAAAUUAAAAUGCACUUUUCCAGUCCAAUUGACCCAAACAGAAUUAUACCACCAAAUUAGUUUUACUAGUUUUCUGUUUUUUUCAGUGAUAUCCAGGGUCCUGUCUUAAGCCUUAGCUCUUGGUGGUUCACUUACCCCAUGUUACAGUUUUGUUACUGCAUUAUAAGUAUCCCCAAAUCUCAGUGGCUUAAAACAACAACCAUUUUAUUAUAUUUCAUGAGUUUCUGGGUUAGGAGAUUAGGUAGGGCUUGGCUGGGCAAUUCUUCUUCUCCACGUGGUCUUGACUUGGUAUUUAGCUGGCAGCUGAGCUAGCCUGGUGGGUCUAAGGUAGCAUGAUUUAGUUGCCAGGCACAUUGCCAGAGAUGGCUGCCUGGCUGAAUGGCUGGGCUGGGCCCCUUCCUUCUCCAUGUCAUCUAUAACCUUCCCACAUGAUAUCUUUAGAGGAGUAGAUAGAUUUCCUACAUGGCAGCUUGGGGCUCCAAGAAUAAAAGUCUUCUCAGAGUCAGGAAGUAAAAGCUACCAGUCUCUUAAGGCUAAGACCUGGAACUGAGACAUCAUUUGUGCUGCAUCCUAUCAGUUAAAGUAGUCAAAGAGCCUGCCCACAUUCAAGAGGAAAAAACAUAGGCCCCUCUCCGUAAAGGGAGGUAUCUCAAAUAAUUUGUGGCCAUCUUUAAUCCACCAUAUCCCAGCAAAGUUCUAUUCUUUGACAGCAGGCUUUUUAGGUAGCGUCACAUUUUCAGCAACUAUUGCUACUGCGUGCCUGUCUUCUGCAUAUUUCCUGGUUGCCUAGAUUACGAUGUCAUGAGGAACUGAUUAGGCCCUUUGCAACUGUGUCUUACAUGAGCCACUGUAGCUCAGUCCCAUCCCUUAGCUUGUUCCUCUCCUGCCCAAUCAGAAAGUUAUGUUUUACACCCAAGCCAGCUUCCGUUGUGACAUCACACAUAAAAUGUGCGUAAAAUGCUUACAUCAAUUGCAUUGGCUCCUAGAAUUCAGAAAUUGCAGUGACUUAAACAAGAGAGUCAUUUGUUUCUCUCUCACAUAAAAGGAAUUUGAAAGAACAGAGUCAAGAUCAGAUAAUAAAGCUCAGAGAGGAUAGCCACUUCCUCAAGGACACAGACCUUUGCUUAUCUUCAGUGUUGCAGAUGUUGUAAAGGGUGAACACUGUACCAUUUAAAGGCUGAGAGAUUAGAGAGAGAAGACCACUCGGAGUCAGAAUUACUAAUGUGCUUUCAGUCUCCUGCCACUUAGUAGAUGAAGAGACAAUAAGAAACGUUACACUUGGCAUCCUUUUGCACUAGGAAUUGUGCCAAAACAUGCCACUAAGGCAUUAUUCCAUUUUCAAGUACGUGCACGCCAUAUUCAGUCAUGAAGAUCAUAGUAACUCAUGAGUAACUCCUAGUAAUUCUUCAUCACUAACGAUGUAAAGAGGAGACAACUAGAGAAAUGGGCAUGUUACGAGAAAAUAAAGAUGAAAGAAAAAGAGUACUUCUCUCUCUAUUGCCUCCAAAUCUCAGGGAUUCACCAAGACAAAACUUGUUAAAAUUAAACAAGCUAAACAUAAACAACUACUUUCAAAUGUUUAUUUAUAUUCCAUAAGACAAAUUGGCUUACUUUGAUGACCCACUCCAGGAAGCUUCACUUGAUAACCUGGCAAUAUCAGUAACAUUCUUAGAUUCUAAUUAUGAGAGCUUGUUUGAAAGUUCUAGCAGGGAAGCGGAGCUACUUGUAUACCCUUGAGUGAACACCAGCCCUCCUCUGUCAGGGAUGGUCAUCCUCUUCAACCAAACAUGCAGCUUUGAGAGGCAUGCACAUGGAGAGGUGAGGAAGGAAGGGAACACUUGCCUAACCAGCCAGAUCAGCUGAAUCAACCCUGGAGAUCAAUGAG
rnacentral:lncRNA from 1 species